CUAACCGCAAGGGAGGAGCUGCCGAAGGCGGGACCGAUGACUGGGGUGAAGUCGUAACAAGGUAGCCGUAUCGGAAGGUGCGGCUGGAUCACCUCCUUUCUAAGGAA
rnacentral:rRNA from 1 species